GUGGCCGUCUCAGCGGCUGUGGCACUGAGCAGUGUGGCACGGCUCGAGGCGCCACGCAGAGCGAGGCUGGUUCCUGCCGACAGGGCCUGUCAAGAAAUCGGGCUCCCUGUGCGAUGGCUCCAUACAAA